rnacentral:lncRNA from 1 species
UUUUUUUAACAUAAAUAAGGCCGCUAGUUUUCUCUUUUGAAUUUUUUUACAUCGUCAUUUCGGGGCCUUUUAAAGCUGAGUAUGCGGUAUGGGCUUUGCUUGUUGUUGAAGGCCGUACGGUGACCUAUAGUCGUAAAUUUCUGUGUCAUUUUGGUCUCUUGUGGAGAGUUGUCUCAACAUGGCAAUCAUACCACAUCUUUUUUUUUUGUA